rnacentral:tRNA from 1 species
GACCCCGUAGCUCAGCGGAUAGAGCAGCAGCCUUCGAAGCUGUUUGUCGCGCGUUCGAAUCGCGCCGGGGUCGCCG